GAUGGUAUAGCUCAGUGGCAGAGCUGGUGCUUAGCAUGCAUGAGUUCCUGGGUUCAAUCCCCAGUACCUCCA
rnacentral:tRNA from 1 species